rnacentral:lncRNA from 1 species
AAUCACCACUGGAAUUAACAGAUUCAGAGGGACUGCAAGCAGGGUAUCUCAGCUCUUCUGCAAGCUCACAGGUGAAUUCCUCUGUCGUAGCCUGCAGAGUUUUUGGAGGAACAGGCUGUGGUAGUUUUCUGAUUAAGAACAGCAGCAAGCAAUCACCUCCAAGAACUAAGGAAGAUAAAGAGGAACCAAAGGAUGGAGGGGAGGUCAAUCACUCACUUUGUGUCUGCACAUUUAUUGUUAUGCCAUAUCUACCUUUUAUUUUGAGCAUUUGUUUCCUAUUAUAAUCCAAGGGAAAAUAAAUCAUAGGAGGCAAGGCAUCUUUCUUGUAAAACUUCACAAUCAGACCAGUCCUUUGUGGUCUGACCUA